rnacentral:rRNA from 1 species
GACGAGGGAUCCUAGCGUUGUUCGGAAUCAUUGGGCGUAAAGCGGGUGUAGGCGGAUUUAUAAGUCAGGUGUGAAAUCCCAGAGCUCAACUCUGGAAGUGCACUUGAUACUGUAAAUCUUGAAUGUGGUAGAGGUUACUGGAAUUCCUGGUGUAGUGGUGAAAUACGUAGAUAUCAGGAGGAAUACCGGAGGCGAAGGCGAGUAACUGGGCCAACAUUGACGCUGAGACCCGAAAGCGUGGGGAUCAAACAGG